rnacentral:rRNA from 1 species
AUGAACGCUGGCGGCGUGCCUAAUACCUGCAAGUCGAGCGAACAGAUGAGGAGCUUGCUCCUCUGACGUUAGCGGCGGACGGGUGAGUAACACGUGGAUAACCUACCUAUAAGACUGGGAUAACUUCGGGAAACCGGAGCUAAUACCGGAUAAUAUAUUGAACCGCAUGGUUCAAUAGUGAAAGACGGUUUUGCUGUCACUUAUAGAUGGAUCCGCGCCGCAUUAGCUAGUUGGCAAGGUAACGGCUUACCAAGGCAACGAUGCAUAGCCGACCUGAGAGGGUGAUCGGCCACACUGGAACUGAGACACGGUCCAGACUCCUACGGGAGGCAGCAGUAGGGAAUCUUCCGCAAUGGGCGAAAGCCUGACGGAGCAACGCCGCGUGAGUGAUGAAGGUCUUCGGAUCGUAAAACUCUGUUAUUAGGGAAGAACAAAUGUGUAAGUAACUAUGCACGUCUUGACGGUACCUAAUCAGAAAGCCACGGCUAACUACGUG